rnacentral:rRNA from 1 species
UUCCCGUAGGGGGCCUGCGGAGGGAUCAUUACCGAGUUUACAACUCCCAAACCCCUGUGAACAUACCUAUACGUUGCCUCGGCGGAUCAGCCCGCGCCCCGUAAAACGGGACGGCCCGCCCGAGGACCCCUAAACUCUGUUUUUAGUGGAACUUCUGAGUAAAACAAACAAAUAAAUCAAAACUUUCAACAACGGAUCUCUUGGUUCUGGCAUCGAUGAAGAACGCAGCAAAAUGCGAUAAGUAAUGUGAAUUGCAGAAUUCAGUGAAUCAUCGAAUCUUUGAACGCACAUUGCGCCCGCCAGUAUUCUGGCGGGCAUGCCUGUUCGAGCGUCAUUUCAACCCUCAAGCUCAGCUUGGUGUUGGGACUCGCGGUAACCCGCGUUCCCCAAAUCGAUUGGCGGUCACGUCGAGCUUCCAUAGCGUAGUAAUCAUACACCUCGUUACUGGUAAUCGUCGCGGCCACGCCGUAAAACCCCAACUUCUGAAUGUGACCUCGGAUCUGA